rnacentral:rRNA from 1 species
AACGCGAAAGUCCCUUCGGGGAGCAAGUAAGUGGCGCACGGGUGAGUAACACGUAGGUAAUCUACCUUCGGAUGGGGAAUAACAACCGGAAACGGUUGCUAAUACCGCAUAAUGCAGCGGCACCUAAUGGUGACAGUUGUUAAAGCGGGGGAUCGCAAGACCUCGCGUCUGGAGAGGAGCCUGCGGCGGAUUAGCUUGUUGGUGAGGUAAUGGCUCACCAAGGCAGUGAUCCGUACCGGCCUGAGAGGGCGGUCGGCCACACUGACACUGACAUACGGGUCAGACUCCUACGGGAGGCAGCAGUCGGGAAUUUUGGGCAAUGGGCGAAAGCCUGACCCAGCAACGCCGCGUGAAGGAUGAAAUCCCUCGGGAUGUAAACUUCGCAAGAACGGGAAGAAUAAGUAGGGGACAAUACCCCCUAUGAUGACGGUACCGUUUGUAAGCUCCGGCUAACUCCGUGCCAGCAGCCGCGGUAAUACGGGGGGAGCAAAGCGUUGUCGGAUUUACUGGGGCGUAAAGGGCGCGUAGGCGGCCAGCACAGGUCAGUUGUGAAAUCUCCGGAGCUUUAACUUCGGAAAGGUCAACUGAUACUGUGCGGUAAGUGCGGAAGGGGGCACUGGAAUUCUUGGUUGUAACGGUGAAAUGCGGUAGCAUUUUCCAAGAAGGGAAACACCUUUGCGGGCGAGAAAGGCCGGGUUUGCUGGGGCCGGAACACUUUGACGGCUUAAGGCGCGAAAAGGC